CAGGUUUAAUGAUUCAUGGAUCCCUGUUGCUUGUGGAAAACAAUUUCUACACAGAGAAAAUGAUACAGAAAAGGCGAUGAAGUAUAUACAAACAAUACUGCCAUUCUAACCACUAACUACAUACAUAUAAGGGACAUUCGUGGACUUCUUUGACCCAAAAAAGCUUUGGAUUUGACCAGCGUGAACAAAAUUAGCAGGCCCAGCUUGGAAGUAAGGCAGGAACAUCUGUAUGUAUAUAGU